GGAUGUGAGGGCGAUCUGGCUGCGACAUCUGUCACCCCAUUGAUCACCAGGGUUGAUUCGACUGAUCUGGCUGGCUAGGCGGGUGUCCCCUUCCUCCCUCACCGCUCCAUGUGCGUCCCUCCCGAAGCUGCGCGCUCGGUCGAAGAGGACGACCUUCCACACUAGAGGAGGACCGGUCUUUGGUCAAGUUUAUACGAGUAGCUGCGCUCCCCUGCUAGAACCUCCAAACAAGCUCUCAAGACUUUCAGAAGACAGGCUACUUCUUUAGCAUGAUAAAAACUGCUGUUUUAAACCAAC
rnacentral:snRNA from 1 species